rnacentral:rRNA from 1 species
CGGGGUGAGUAAUGUCUGGGAAACUGCCUGAUGGAGGGGGAUAACUACUGGAAACGGUAGCUAAUACCGCAUAAUGUCUGCGGACCAAAGCGGGGGACCUCCGGGCCUCGCGCCAUCAGAUGAACCCAUAUGGGAUUAGCUAGUAGGUAAGGUAACGGCUUACCUAGGCGACGAUCCCUAGCUGGUCUGAGAGGAUGAUCAGCCACACUGGAACUGAGACACGGUCCAG